rnacentral:tRNA from 1 species
GGGCGAUUGGCUCAGCUGGUUAGAGUGCCACGUUGACAUCGUGGAGAUCAUUGGUUCGAAUCCGAUAUCGCCCACCA